rnacentral:pre_miRNA from 1 species
CUUGUACUCCCUCCGUCCGAAAAUACUUAUCAUUGAAAUGGAUGUAUCUAGAUGUAUUUUAGUUCUAGACACAUCCAUUUUGAUGACAAGUAAUUCCGGACGGAGGGAGUACUUG